GUACUGCAUCAUAUCAAUAAUCUUAUCUAUAAAAGGAGUAAAAUUUGCUACAUUGAAUAUACCAUAGAGGAAAUUGAAUUAAUGAAGAAGUAGAAGAUGACACUUUGUUGGUGACUUUGAUCUCAAAAGAGUGCUUAUCAAUAUUGUUUGUUUAAUUUAUUACGGAAUAUCAAGCAUUAUUAUCAUCACUAUAUGGACACAUGGCAUUAUACUCUUGGGACCAAAGUCACCAACAGAGUGUCAAAUUUCUCAUCAUUCCGAGCUCAAACACAGCGACGGAGCCAGAAUUCUCAUCGAAGAAAAUAUCAAAAUAUUUUCUUAAUUAAUGAUCUCUAUUGUUUUGUUGUUUUUUAGUAGUGCCUUGUUAUUUUCUUUGGAGAAUGUAACCAGCUAGAUGUAAUCCCCACAUAUAUGUAAUAUAAUAAAUCAAUCCCCUACCUUUUGGGGGUAUGUUUACUAAGCUAUGCAACAUAAAGUAACACUUUAUUUUGUUCU